AGUGAACGCUGGCGGUAGGCCUAACACAUGCAAGUCGAACGGCAGCACAGUAAGAGCUUGCUCUUACGGGUGGCGAGUGGCGGACGGGUGAGGAAUACAUCGGAAUCUACUUUUUCGUGGGGGAUAACGUAGGGAAACUUACGCUAAUACCGCAUACGACCUACGGGUGAAAGCAGGGGAUCUUCGGACCUUGCGCGAUUGAAUGAGCCGAUGUCGGAUUAGCUAGUUGGCGGGGUAAAGGCCCACCAAGGCGACGAUCCGUAGCUGGUCUGAGAGGAUGAUAAGCGACACUGGAACUGAGACACGGUCCAGACUCCUACGGGAGGCAGCAGUGGGGAAUAUUGGACAAUGGGCGCAAGCCUGAUCCAGCCAUACCGCGUGGGUGAAGAAGGCCUUCGGGUUGUAAAGCCCUUUUGUUGGGAAAGAACAGCAGCAGGUUAAUACCCCGCUGUUCUGACGGUACCCAAAGAAUAAGCACCGGCUAACUUCGUG
rnacentral:rRNA from 1 species